ensembl:lncRNA
UAAAAGUAGAUUGUCUUUAUUAGAACACGGGCUGUGGUGGGACAAGUUAUUUUGUUGAACAGUUUACUCAAAGGGUUUUACUUCAGUGAACAAUGCAGACGAUUAUGCUGAGCAUGUGCAUGUAGAGAAGAACAGCAUCUGGUUAAAAAGCAGUACCAGGGUCUUUUCUGCCUUGCAUUCUUAAAAUUAGUUUCUUGACUUGCAGCAGUUAUAGGUCCUGGUUAGUCAGCCACUCUGAUCAUGGGAAAGCCACAACGUUAAAGUGACUGUAGUACAGAGCGGGUGGGAUGCACGGGGCGGAUCAUUCUGCACAUGCGUUAAUUGCGUAAAAAAACAAAAUUUAAACUUAAAGCAUGCCCCCGGUGCGUUUGACAGUUACCAUGGGGACUGAGAAGGUGGUCUAAAUAAAUGAUAGAUUGCGCUGAAAAACGAUAGCGGUCGUGAAGAAAAUUAUCAGGAAAAGAAAGUAUAUCCAACGGGGGUCUUAAUAAUCGUUCCUCACGGAGAUUCCUUCUGAGGAUCGCAGCCUCUUCAUCCACAGGCUCUCGUAGAACAGGACAUGCCAUUUCUAACACUUCCUUCUGUCGGAGAGCUGCCUUCAGCCUUAUAGACAACAAACUCAGAGUAGGUCUAACCACCUCCCGAGCAGGUUAGGUCCACGGCGUAUGUUGCCGCAGCAACUAACUCACGGUUGCGCUGAACCUGCUACCUGAAACGGAAAACCCAGAGUUUCCACUAACUCAAAGCGAACAAACUCGGGGUUGCCUCAAAACCAGCUACCUGAAACAGGGCUC